GACGAACGCUGGCGGCGUGCCUAAUACAUGCAAGUCGAGCGGACUUAAAAAGCUUGCUUUUUAAGUUAGCGGCGGACGGGUGGGUAACACGUGGGCAACCUGCCUGUAAGACUGGGAUAACUUCGGGAAACCGGAGCUAAUACCGGAUAAUCCUUUUCUACUCAUGUAGAAAAGCUGAAAGACGGUUUACGCUGUCACUUACAGAUGGGCCCGCGGCGCAUUAGCUAGUUGGUGAGGUAACGGCUCACCAAGGCGACGAUGCGUAGCCGACCUGAGAGGGUGAUCGGCCACACUGGGACUGAGACACGGCCCAGACUCCUACGGGAGGCAGCAGUAGGGAAUCUUCCGCAAUGGACGAAAGUCUGACGGAGCAACGCCGCGUGAGUGAUGAAGGUUUUCGGAUCGUAAAACUCUGUUGUUAGGGAAGAACAAGUACGAGAGUAACUGCUCGUACCUUGACGGUACCUAACCAGAAAGCCACGGCUAACUACGUG
rnacentral:rRNA from 1 species